GUGCCCCUUCUCAUUUGUCCCCUGAUGAUGAUUCCUCUGGGAACUGCAGGAGCCAGCCAAAGGUGUUUGCUUACGAUCACUGUUUCUGGUCUUUGGACGAAUCUGUAAAAGAAAAAUAUGCAGGUCAAGAUGUUGUUUUCAAGUGCCUUGGAGAGAAUAUUCUUCAGAAUGCCUUUGAGGGCUACAACGCAUGUAUCUUUGCCUAUGGACAGACUGG